rnacentral:rRNA from 1 species
ACGCUGGCGGCGUGCCUAAUACAUGCAAGUCGAACGGUCUUUCUAUGGAAGCUUGCUUCCACUGAGAAGAUAGUGGCGAACGGGUGAGUAACACGUGGGUAACCUGCCCAUAAGAGGGGGAUAACAUCCGGAAACGGGUGCUAAUACCGCAUAGUUUUCUUGAUCGCAUGAUUGGGAAAGGAAAGACGGCCUUUGUGCUGUCGCUUAUGGAUGGACCCGCGGCGUAUUAGUUAGUUGGUGAGGUAACGGCUCACCAAGACGAUGAUACGUAGCCGACCUGAGAGGGUGAUCGGCCACAUUGGGACUGAGACACGGCCCAAACUCCUACGGGAGGCAGCAGUAGGGAAUCUUCCGCAAUGGACGAAAGUCUGACGGAGCAACGCCGCGUGAGUGAAGAAAAGGUUUUCGGAUCGUAAAACUCUGUUGUCAGAGAAGAACAAGUUGGAGAGUAACUGCUCCAGCCUUGACGGUAUCUGACCAGAAAGCCACGGCUAACUACGUGCCAGCAGCCGC